GCCUGGGUGGCUCAGUCGGUUGAGUGUCUGACUUCAGCUCAGGUCAUGAUCUCACGGUCUGUGAGUUCGAGUCCCGCAUCGGGCU
rnacentral:tRNA from 1 species